AUGAACAAGAAAGAAAAGCUCAAAUGGUCAAUGCAGCCAUUGUCUUGCUGCCAUCAUUUUUCAAAGAAAAUCCUGCAUUCCUUUUUGUCAACGACCAGGAACCCAUUUCUCCCACACCCACCAUCGUGAUGACCGGCUCCAACCCCCUUGUCCAGCACGGAAGUAGCUUUGAAGAUGGAUGGUUGUAACAUGGUUUUAGAUGAUGGUAGCAUUGAUGUCAGUUUGGCCUUUCUCUUUUCCAUGUCUAUCAAGUUCACUAUCCCAAACCUCUCUGAAAGACACUGGCCUUUCUUGAGGCCUUUGUCUUUCAGAUGAAAAGUGCUGUUCCUCUGACAGUGCAGAAGCUGUUCAAUUCCCUUCACUGAUGUGUGUGUGU